AAACCAUGGUGGGGAUAGAGGGCUUGCAAUUCUUUGUACUUUUCCCAGGCUUGAUAUAAAGUUUCACUCUCCUUUUGAGUAGAAGAAGAUAUUUGCUUUUUCAAUGC
rnacentral:snoRNA from 1 species